rfam:Lupinus angustifolius cultivar Tanjil chromosome LG06, whole genome shotgun sequence.
AGGUAGAGAGAUGGGGAAAAAUUCACACCUGGUCAGAAAUCCGCAGUAAAAUAUGUUUGGGCGAGAGAAGUACUAGGAUGGGUGACAUUAUAGGAAGUCGUCGUGUUGUACCUU